rnacentral:rRNA from 1 species
UACGGAGGGUGCAAACGUUGCUCGGAAUCAUUGGGCGUAAAGCGCACGUAGGCGGCUUUGCAAGUCCCAUGUGAAAUCCCACGGCUUAACCGUGGAAGUGCAUGGGAAACUGCAGAGCUUGAGUACUUAAGAGGAUCGCGGAAUUCCCGGUGUAGAGGUGAAAUUCGUAGAUAUCGGGAGGAACACCAGUGGCGAAGGCGGCGAUCUGGGAAGAUACUGACGCUGAGGUGCGGAAAGCGUGGGGAGCAAACAGGG